rnacentral:rRNA from 1 species
GAUGAACGCUGGCGGCGUGCCUAAUACAUGCAAGUCGAGCGAACGGACGAGAAGCUUGCUUCUCUGAUGUUAGCGGCGGACGGGUGAGUAACACGUGGAUAACCUACCUAUAAGACUGGGAUAACUUCGGGAAACCGUAGCUAAUACCGGAUAAUAUUUUGAACCGCAUGGUUCAAAAGUGAAAGACGGUCUUGCUGUCACUUAUAGAUGGAUCCGCGCUGCAUUAGCUAGUUGGUAAGGUAACGGCUUACCAAGGCAACGAUGCAUAGCCGACCUGAGAGGGUGAUCGGCCACACGGGAACUGAGACACGGUCCAGACUCCUACGGGAGGCAGCAGUAGGGAAUCUUCCGCAAAGGGCGAAAGCCUGACGGAGCAACGCCGCGUGAGUGAUGAAGGUCUUCGGAUCGUAAAACUCUGUUAUUAGGGAAGAACAUAUGUGUAAGUAACUGUGCACAUCUUGACGGUACCUAAUCAGAAAGCCACGGCUAACUACGUG